AACUAACCCGUGUUAGGGAUUGUAGCGGCAUCCUUUUUGAGGCACGAAAAAAGAUAUAGCGGAAAGCCCGACCCCGC
rnacentral:sRNA from 1 species